UACGUAGGGUGCAAGCGUUAAUCGGAAUUACUGGGCGUAAAGCGUGCGCAGGCGGUUGUGCAAGUCAGAUGUGAAAUCCCCGGGCUUAACCUGGGAACUGCGUUUGAAACUGGAAGGCUUGAGUGUGGCAGAGGGGGGUGGAAUUCCACGUGUAGCAGUGAAAUGCGUAGAGAUGUGGAGGAACACCGAUGGCGAAGGCAGCCCCCUGGGCUAACACUGACGCUCAUGCACGAAAGCGUGGGGAGCAAACAGG
rnacentral:rRNA from 1 species